rnacentral:rRNA from 1 species
GCAAGGAAUUUUCCGCAAUGGGCGAAAGCCUGACGGAGCAACGCCGCGUGGGGGAUGACGCCUUUCGGGGUGUAAACCUCUUUUCUUGGGGAUGACGAACGACAGUACCUGAGGAAGAAGGACCGGCUAACUACGUGCCAGCAGCCGCGGUAAUACGUAGGGUCCGAGCGUUGUCCGGAGUUACUGGGCGUAAAGCGCGCGCAGGUGGUUGAUCAAGUCUGGCGUGAAAGCCCCCGGCUUAACUGGGGAGGGUCGUCGGAGACUGGUUGACUUGAGGGCAGGAGGGGUUGGUGGAAUUCCCGGUGUAGUGGUGAAAUGCGUAGAGAUCGGGAGGAACACCCGUGGCGAAGGCGGCCAACUGGACUGACCCUGACACUGAGGCGCGAAGGCGUGGGGAGCGAACGGGAUUAGAAACCCUGGUAGUCC